AGUGGAAUUGCUGGGUUACAUGGUAAGUCCACCUUUUGUGAAACUUCCAGACUGUUUUCCAAAGUAGCUGUACCAUUUAACAUUCCCACUUACAGU
rnacentral:pre_miRNA from 1 species